CUAAAGCAACUAGAUCACCUGCAAAAGUUCUGUCAGACCCGGGCCCUGACCGUUAACCUGGACAAGACAAAAGUCAUGGUCUUCCAGAAACGACAGAGUCAGAAACAUCCCCACAGGUUCCACCUGGACUCUACGGACAGAGAACACACACACAGCUACACAUAUCUAGGACUAAAUAUCACAUCGACGGGAAAUUUCAAUCUGGCCAUUAAGGAUCUCAGAGAAAAAGGUAGAAGAGCAUUCUGGACUAUAAAAAAGUCUUCAAACAUAGACAUCCCUGUCAAAAUCUGGAUCAAAAUAUUUCAAUCGAUAACUGAACCAGUUGUAUUGUAUGGUAGUGAAGUGUGGGGCCCUCUCAUGAACCAAGACUUCCAAAAAUGGGACAAACACCCAAUGGAAAGCUUGCACACUGAGAUCUGCAAAAGCAUCCUCAAAGUUCACAGGAACACCCCCAACAACAGAUGCAGAGCUGAACUGGGCCAAUUUCCCCUGUUAGUUCUGAUCCAAAACAGAGCAAUAAAGUUCUACCAACACCUCAGAGCCAGCGAGCCCAGCUCCUACCACUACAAAGCCCUACGAUGCCAAGAGGAGAGCAAAGAAGGGAGUCCCCUCAGCCAGCUGGUCCACAGGCUGAGCUCCAACAGCACCGGGCACCAAGACCGCCCUCACACCAUCCAGCCCCACCAAAUUAUAGCAAAAGAAAAAGACAAUUACAUCAACUAUUGGACAUCCGCAACCAAAACCCAAAGCAAACUCCAAUGCUAUUUGGCCCUAAACAGACAAUACUCCAUGGCAGAUUAUCUGAGCUCUGUAACUGACCCGAGACUGAGGAAAACCUGGACUAUGUACAGACUCAGCAACCACAGCCGGGCCUUAGAGAGCGGCAGACACAGACAGACCCGGCUGUCCAGAGAGGACCGGCUGUGUCGGUUCUGUCCACACAGACAGACCCGGCUGUCCAGAGAGGACCGGCUGUGUCGGUUCUGUCCACACAGACAGACCCGGCUGUCCAGAGACGACCGGCUGUGUCGGUUCUGUCCACACAGACAGACCCGGCUGUCCAGAGAGGACCGGCUGUGUCGGUUCUGUCCACACAGACAGACCCGGCUGUCCAGAGACGACCGGCUGUGUCGGUUCUGUCCACACAGACAGGUGGAGACAGAGCAGCACUUCCUGCUGCACUGUGACACAUUCACAGAUCUCAGAACCAGAUAUACAUUAAAAUCACAGACAACCCCAGACUUCCCCAAACUAUCAGACCAAGAAAAACUACAACAUUUACUGGGAGAAAAAACUGGCACUGCUGUAGAUGCAGCGAGAUCUGUGAAUGCUGCCACAGGAGAAGAGACGAGCUGCACAACAACACCUGAACCAGCUGAUCCUGACUGGGUUCUUACCUGCACACUGAUAUACUGUUUAUUAUUGUUGUUAUUAUUGCUAUUAUUGUUAUUGUUAUCAUCAUCAUUAUUAUUGUUUAUUAUUAUUUCAUUUUUUUUUCUGUAGUCCUGUACGCUUUGGCAAUAUUGUGAACCACAGUCAUGCCAAUAAAGCUUGUUGAAAUUGAGAGAGAGCGGGUGAGUGUGUGUGUGUGUGAGAGAGAGAGAGAGAGAGAGCGGGUGCUUCUUUUUCUUGCAUUUGUAAGUUGCAGUGCGCUUUUUAAUUAACAUGAAAUUAAAUAUACUCUAUUUAAAGGCAAGUUUGUUUUUUGCCUGUUCAUGUUACUGAAAUCAUUAUAUCGUUAAAUAUACGAUAUUGAACCGGCACCUUAUCGUGGUGGAGGGGUUUGAGCACCUGAAUGAUCCUAGGAGCUAUGUAGUACGGGGCUUAAUGCCCCUGGUAGGGUCUCCCAAG
ensembl:lncRNA